rnacentral:lncRNA from 1 species
UACCAAGAGGAGAAUAGGCUGAGACUUAAGGUUACACCAGCAAGAGUUCCCAGAUGGAAAGAAAGGACUGCCUUUUUCAAUGAGGCAGAGGAAAUUUAACUUCAUCUUUUGUUUUUCAUUGCAACCAAGAAAGAACAGAAGAUCAAAGGAAAUUAGUAAAGAUACUGUGACUAGGAGAACAGAGAAUGGGGCUCAAGGAUACCCACACUUGUUUUAUAACUUCUGGCUAUAAACCUGAGCACCGAUGCUUGACCUAUUGGUUAUGAGGCAGACAUGAAGAAGCUGGGAAGACGGUUUUGGUGAAUUCAGAGAUUUAAAUUUUGUCAAGACACAGUACUUCAUUGGAUAUGGGAUGGACAUCUUUGGAAAUGUGUCACAGGAAUAAGAUGUACCUGGCUUUAAUGCAAUAUUAAAAAAAAGCAGACAAAAUGAAACAAAGUUAAGGCAAAAAUAAUCCACAAUGAACAAAAAAAUUUGAGUAAAAUGGA